rnacentral:rRNA from 1 species
GUGCCAGCAGCCGCGGUAAUACAGAGGGUGCGAGCGUUAAUCGGAAUUACUGGGCGUAAAGCGUGCGUAGACGGUCAUGUAAGUCGGGUGUGAAAGCCCCGGGCUCAACCUGGGAAUUGCAUUCGAGACUGCAUGGCUAGGGUGCGGAAGAGGGAAGCGGAAUUUCCGGUGUAGCGGUGAAAUGCGUAGAUAUCGGAAGGAACACCAGUGGCGAAAGCGGCUUCCUGGUCCAGCACCGACGUUCAGGCACGAAAGCCAGGGGAGCAAACGGGGUUAGAUACCCCGGUAGUCCUAGCCGUAAACGAUGGACACUAGGUGUGCGUGGUAUCGACCCCACGCGUGCCGGCGCUAACGCAGUAAGUGUCCCGCCUGGGGAGUACGGCCGCAAGGCUAAAACUCAAAUGAAUUGACGG